GAAAUGCGAUAAGUAAUGUGAAUUGCAGAAUUCAGUGAAUCACCGAAUCUUUGAACGCACAUUGCGCCCGCCAGUAUUCUGGCGGGCAUGCCUGUUCGAGCGUCAUUUCAACCAUCAAGCCCCCGGGCUUGUGUUGGGGACCUGCGGCUGCCGCAGGCCCCGAAAACCAGUGGCGGACUCGCUGUCACACCGGGCGUAGUAGAUUUUUCGUCUCGCCCAGGGCGUGCUGCGGGUUCCGGCCGUUAAAAAGCCUCUCUUUUAACCCAAGGUUGACCUCGGAUCAGGUAGGAAGACCCGCUGAACUUAAGC
rnacentral:misc_RNA from 1 species